UUUUUGUUUGUUUGUAGGGGUAAGAGGACUUCUUGUUUUACAAUGGCUUCCCUAAGAGAUACCUGGGCUUGUCAGCAAAGCAGCUAAUAAAACACUGGCCUAUUCUUUUUAUCUGAUUAUCACUUGAGAGGGGCUGGGAAGUAUCUUUUGAGGGAAAAGGUCUCUGGCACUGUAGGAUUUGGGUGUGAGCCACCACGCCCAGCCUAUUUGCAGUUUUUAAGAUGGAGAAAAAGGAAUCCUACACAAUGAAUUGGGUUUUCUUUGAUAAAUUAUCACUAAGCUGAGGGUUCUACAUUUGAUUGGUAAUGUGCCCAGAGUUGAUAUUUUAUUCUGCAUGUACUAAUUUUUUUCUGGUUUUUGGAGGUGUUCUCUAACCAAAACUGAACACUUUCUGGUAGCUAAAAACUGGUGUCUCUUUCCAGCUUCAUAUUUUUAUAAGGCUGAUAAUGCUGUCCACUGAACAGGACUAUUUCUUGGUAGGACAUAGAGAUGGUCACUGUUCUCAUUGUAGUUCCCGUGCAAGAAAAUGGAGACAUCAUGGGAUAGGGUGUUGUCAUUGUAGGUUUAAGAAUUGUCAUUCUGGCCGGGCGUGGUGGCUCAUGCCUGUAAUCCCAGCACUUUGGGAGGCUGAGGCUGGUAGAUCACCUGAGGUC
rnacentral:lncRNA from 10 species